CGAGUAAAGCGGCGGACGGGUGAGUAACGCGUGGGAAAUUGCCCAGUAGUGGGGGACAACAUUCGGAAACGGAUGCUAAUACCGCAUACGCCCUACGGGGGAAAGCAGGGGAUCUUCCGACCUUGCGCUACUGGAUAUGCCCGCGUCGGAUUAGCUAGUUGGUGAGGUAAUGGCUCACCAAGGCGACGAUCCGUACCUGGUCUGACAGGAUGAUCAGCCACACUGGGACUGAAACACGGCCCAGACUCCUACGGGAGGCGGCAGUGGGGAAUAUUGGACAAUGGGCGCAAGCCUGAUCCAGCCAUGCCGCGUGUGUGAAGAAGGCCCUAGGGUUGUAAAGCACUUUCAGCAGGGAGGAAGGCCUUAAAGUUAAUACCUUUGAGGAUUGACGUUACCUGCGGAAGAAGCACCGGCUAACUCCGUGCCAGCAGCCGCGGUAAUACGGAGGGUGCAAGCGUUAAUCGGAAUUACUGGGCGUAAAGCGCGCGUAGGCGGUUAGUU
rnacentral:rRNA from 1 species